rnacentral:rRNA from 1 species
CCUACGGGUGGCAGCAGUGGGGAAUAUUGGUCAAUGGACGCGAGUCUGAACCAGCAAAGUAGCGUGCAGGAAGACGGCUCUAUGAGUUGUAAACUGCUUUUGUACAGGGGUAAACCUGAAUACGUGUAUUCAGCUGAAAGUACUGUACGAAUAAGGAUCGGCUAACUCCGUGCCAGCAGCCGCGGUAAUACGGAGGAUCCAAGCGUUAUCCGGAUUUAUUGGGUUUAAAGGGUGCGUAGGCGGAUUGAUAAGUUAGAUGUGAAAUGUCCGAGCUUAACUCUGGACCUGCCUCUAAUACUGUUGAUCUAGAGAGUAGAUGCGGUAGGCGGAAUGUAUGGUGUAGCGGUGAAAUGCUUAGAGAUCAUAAAGAACACCGAUUGCGAAGGCAGCUUACCAAUCUAUAUCUGACGUUGAGGCACGAAAGCGUGGGGAGCAAACAGGAUUAGAUACCCGUGUAGUC